GACGAACGCUGGCGGCGUGCUUAACACAUGCAAGUCGAACGGAAAGGUCCUGCUUGCAGGGCACUCGAGUGGCGAACGGGUGAGUAACACGUGGGUGAUCUGCCCUGCACUUCGGGAUAAGCCUGGGAAACUGGGUCUAAUACCGGAUAGGAGCCAUUUUUAGUGUGAUGGUUGGAAAGUUUUUUUCGGUGUAGGAUGAGCUCGCGGCCUAUCAGCUUGUUGGUGGGGUAAUGGCCUACCAAGGCGGCGACGGGUAGCCGGCCUGAGAGGGUGGACGGCCACAUUGGGACUGAGAUACGGCCCAGACUCCUACGGGAGGCAGCAGUGGGGAAUAUUGCACAAUGGGCGCAAGCCUGAUGCAGCGACGCCGCGUGGGGGAUGACGGCCUUCGGGUUGGAAACUCCUUUCGCUAGGGACGAAGCUUUUUGUGACGGUACCUAGAUAAGAAGCACCGGCUAACUACGUG
rnacentral:rRNA from 1 species